rnacentral:lncRNA from 1 species
GUAGGAGGUGGCAGGCAGCUGUCAGGUGCAAGAGGGUGGGAUGGGGCAUUCAGCUGGGGUUAUUUAGCUAAAUGGCUGUUGUCUUCCUUUUCAGAGAAAUGUUUAAGUGACAGUUCCUCAGAAAAUACCGGAAGUACCCUGGUCCCCACAGAUCUGGCCAGUUUGUCCCCUUACCAGUUUAUAGUGUACCGCUUUGGCUGUGCAGUGCUUCGCCUGUUAAUCAGGACCUAUUCGUGCCCAGCUCUGGUACUUAAGCUGGCUCGGUCGGUUCCUGCCCGAAGUCCAGAUCAAGAUGUUCUCCCAGUCCUUAGAGACUCUCACUAUGACGCCAUCAACAGGUACCUGUAUAUACGUGCAACAAGGCUGGAGGAUGCCGGGGAAUUUAUUGCCAUCUUGCUGAGCGCUGUGGCGUGGAUCAAAGCAGGCUCUGCCUCAAGAGGUAUUGUUCAUUCCUUCUUUCUGACGGAACUUAAUGGAGCUGUUGUGGUUCUGGCCAAUGCUUCUUUCCAGCAUUUGUGGGAGGCAGCAGAGAAGGAUCCAUCAGGAGGCAGCUUAUCCGCUCAUUUUGACCCCCAGACAAUGCUCGAAGAACUUCUGAGCAUCAGAGUGUCACCAUAUCCCUACGUCAAGGAGAAAGCCCUGGGUGAGAGAUUGCAGCAGUACCGAUGCCUUCAGCUGCCUCUGGAGUCUGAGAAUAGGAUGGAAAAUUCACAGAAAAGAGAAGACAGUCGGAGUGUAGGCUCCUCUGAUUUUAAGCUGAAGGCUGCGAAAUUGGAGGAGACAUUGGAUGAGCUAAACGAGGAGUUUUUUGAACUGACGGUACAGGCUUUGAGAAGCCAGGAAGAAGGGGAAUUGUUGGAGCAAGUGCUCAGAACACAGGAGGAGUCGACUGUGACAGCAAGCAUCGACCACGUGUACGAAGCUCAGUGCUUUCCAGAGCUGCUGGAUUCUUGGGCCACAAAGAGGGAUGAAGCCCUGUUGCUGGAAAUACAGAGGAGCUGCAUUGCUCAGAGGAUUGAAGAGGCAGAAGCAGAACUGUUUUAUCUUCUGCAAAAUAAAAUAGCUGCCAGCUCACUUCAUUGAGGAACCUAGCUUACCCUCGGCACUGACUAAAAAUUGAUGGAUUGCAGGAGAGUGCGUGUGUCCACGGACAGAGUUGCGUUACGUGAAGUAUCAGAAUAGGUAUGUGUGUAGUUAGAGACAUUCUUGGUCAAAUAUAUAAUGAUGAAUCCAUAUUCUGUUUGUUCAGCGGGGCUGAAAUACAUUUGUACUUGCCAUGGGUCAUCGAUAUUAUGUAGGCUUGAGCGAGAAGCUCAUAUCCAUAACAUUGCUUACUAAUUUUAUAUUUAUCACCGUUAAGUCAGUAAAGCAGAAAACACGUGAAGCCGAAGGUGGUCAAGAGCCCUGCUUGUCAGCUUCAUGUGUUCUGCAUAUGCUUUAUGACUUCUGAUGUCAAGGAUAUUUGAGAGGGGCGGAUGUUGUUUAGAGCCAUACGUCAGAGCCUCGUCCAGCAUCUCUACGUUGCCUCUAUGUUUUUGCUAUGCUUGCAUUGAUCUCAGGAAGGUCUCCUGCUAGCAGAGACCUUCAACUUCUGUGAGGGUGUGACUUUUCAACACAGAGCAUGCUUCAACCAUUCCCUGUAGUGAUGACUGCACAGAUCAGUUUAGCUCCCAGUGUCCAGUGCUCUGGUGGGAGCUGGAUCUUUAAAUUGAAGAUACAGUCUUACUGUUGCUAUUUUUUUUUUUUUUGUCCUGUCUGCCUGAUGCUAAGAGAGUCCGGCUGUGAAGUGAGCUUAGCUUCUGUUGCACAGAAGUCGCAUCGGAACGUGCGCUCCAUCUCUUUCUGUGCGGUAUUCCUUAGCUCCAGAUAAGUACAGCAAUAUAAAAUUUGUUGAUGGUGAGCCAGCACAAUACCUUGGCAAGCUGCACAGGUAGGCUUCUACCAGUGGUUUCCAACAGCAAAACCAAUGCUCUUUUCAUUACAAUAUUUACUCGAUCGCUUACGCGUGAAGAGGUUUGUGAACCCACUCCUUCCUGGUUCCUAAACACAAAUCUGUGUUUUCCCCUGCCUUUGAGUGACCAUGGGCAAUAUUAGCAGGGAGAGACUUCAGUACCUGGCAGCCAAGACAGAAUCUCAGUUUGGCUUCCACUAACUGUUGUCUCUGGUGGAUCCAUAGGAAUUGCAAGGUCUGUUGCCGUCAUCUACUCGGUUUGGCAGUUCCACCUUUUCUGAGUUUGCUCCCAGAAAACAAGAAGGUUUCUUCCGGUUCCUUUGCAAUUCCACCUCGGGAGAAUUCAGUUACUUAAUGGCACUUGGAAGGAACUUUCCUAAAAGGACACUAAAAGCUACAGGCAAACACUAUGAAGUGCUUGGAGGUCACCCUCUGUGAUUGCCUUUUCUAGAAUACAGUAACGAAAAAGCUGUCACCGCUCUCCUCCUUGCUUGCGUUUUUAGGUUUUCAGCAGAUAUAUUUGUAACAGUAAGCGAUCUGUCAGUCUUGAUUGAUUGCAGUCUCUCUAAUUCCCACAGGGAACAGUGGUACCCAGACAGGUGAUGAAGUUAACUCUGAGUGCUGUGUGGUGUGAUUCUAGGUUACAUUUGUAAAAGGCGGAGUGGAAAACAAGAAUAAAUAAAAUUUGUCAAAAUGUUUCCUUGUAACA